AUUGCCCUAGUAACGGCGAGUGAAGCGGCAAGAGCUCAAAUUUGAAAGCUGGCCCCCUCGGGGUCCGCGUUGUAAUUUGCAGAGGAUGCUUCGGGAGCGGUCCCCAUCUAAGUGCCCUGGAACGGGCCGUCAUAGAGGGUGAGAAUCCCGUCUGGGAUGGGGUGCCCGCGCCCGUGUGAAGCUCCUUCGACGAGUCGAGUUGUUUGGGAAUGCAGCUCUAAUUGGGUGGUAAAUUUCAUCUAAAGCUAAAUAUUGGCCGGAGACCGAUAGCGCACAAGUAGAGUGAUCGAAAGAUGAAAAGCACUUUGAAAAGAGAGUUAAACAGCACGUGAAAUUGUUGAAAGGGAAGCGCUUGCGAUCAGACUCGCUCGCGGGGUUCAGCCGGCAUUCGUGCCGGUGUACUUCCCCGCGGGCGGGCCAGCGUCGGUUUGGGCGGCCGGUCAAAGGCCCCUGGAAUGUAACGCCUCUCGGGGCGUCUUAUAGCCAGGGGUGCCAUGCGGCCUGCCCGGACCGAGGAACGCGCUUCGGCUCGGACGCUGGCAUAAUGGUCGUAAGCGACCCGUCUUGAAACACGGACCAAGGAGUCUAACAUCUACGCGAGUGUUCGGGUGUCAAACCCGUGCGCGCAGUGAAAGCGAACGGAGGUGGGAACCCUUUGGGUGCACCAUCGACCGAUCCUGAUGUCUUCGGAUGGAUUUGAGUAAGAGCGUAGCUGUUGGGACCCGAAAGAUGGUGAACUAUGCCUGAAUAGGGCGAAGCCAGAGGAAACUCUGGUGGAGGCUCGCAGCGGUUCUGACGUGCAAAUCGAUCGUCAAAUUUGGGUAUAGGGGCGAAAGACUAAUCGAACCAUCUAGUAGCUGGUUCCUGCCGAA
rnacentral:rRNA from 1 species